GAAAGGCAUCUGGUCUGAAUCUGAAGACGUCACGAGAUGGAGACUCCACCGUUCCAUUGGCAGUUUGUUCCAAAAGACGCUGACCCAGGUUCUGACUCACGGCCUGUCCCUGGAUCCUGGUUUCAGUGCUGCUCUCAGCCUGGUGCUGACUCUGCGUUCGGCAUCAAACAGUGGUACCUGACUGCUGCUCCAACCACCAGGCCUGACUGCCUAGAACCCAGAGCCUGACAGGUCCUGCCCCAAAGAACUUAGUCUAAGAGAGGAGCAGAACUUUGAUCUCCUAAAUGGCAAGCUGUGGCGAGAGGAAACUGGCUGAGGACAAUAUUCAAAUGACAGUGAUUGCAGCUGACCCACACUCCAUAAAAGAUGAGCUUCUCGCUUUUCUGGAAAGUUUCUUGGGCUCUGGUCCUGAUGCUGUGGGAUUCAGGUCGAGGCAGGAUUUGAACCAGGAACUCCAAGGAUCUCCCAGCAAGCAUCCAAACCGCUGGACUAUAGAGUGAUUAUUAACUGGCGCAGCACACACCAAUUAAAAAGUGUAACAGCUCCAACAGGAAAGACGGAGGACGCUUUAAGAACAGCCAUACCGGGUGAGACCAAAGGUCCAUCCAGCCCAGCAUCCCAUCUACUGACAGUGGCCAACGCCAGGUGCCCCAGAGGGAGUGAACCUAACAGGCAACGAUCGAGCGAUCUCUCUCCCGCCAUCCAUCUCCACUGUCUGACAAAUAGAGUCUAGGGACACCAUUCCUUACCCAUCCUGGCUAAUAGCCAUUAAUGGACUUAACCUCCAUGAAUUUAUCCAGUUCUCCUUUAAACGCUGUUAUAGUCCUAGCC